GUUAGCUUCUCUUCAAAAGAUCCUUUAACAGUUACUGAGUAGUUAUAACUCGGCUUCGAUCCAAACUCUAGAGAUGGAACAUUUGAAGCAAAGCUUCGAGGAGUUUACAGAGUAAAAAGGUUCAAUGCUUGUGUUGUCUUGCGGUAAACCACGUGACCGAUGACAAACGAUGCCUCGCAUUUCCGUGAACACGUCACUGCUUCAUUUCGCGUGUGGAAUUUCAAAAUAAAAGCGCGAUGACACUUGUUGCUUCGUGGGUUGUUGUAGUGGUUUGGUCGCACGUCAGCAGAGAUAGGAGCAUCUGAGAAGAAUGGAGGCAACAAAAAAAGGAAAACUUCUCCCAUCUGGAAGUAAUUUGAAAUGUGUGCUAAAACAAGGUUCCAGAAAGCAGGUGUUGGAUGAUGCUGUGAUCAAUCUUAUUGUAAAAGAUUCACAGCCCUUUACUGUUGUGGAAGACGAGGCGUUCAGGGAACUUGUUCAUUUGCUGAAUCCCUCCUAUGUUCUCCCUACUAGAAAAGGCAUUAAAGAAGAUGGUGGAGGAAAAAUAUGAAAAAAGUAAGAAAAACAUUUGACCAGGUCCCUGUUCUCUGUGACCUUCGGAAAAACGGCAAACGAAUUGUAACAUAUUUUCACUCAACCACCAAAGGUAAAGAAAAGCUAGAAGUAGUACAGAUACAGAUAGGAAGACAGUCACAAAAACCUGUCACUAAUAUGGACACACGCUGGAAUAGCAUAACCUCACUAUCUUGUCAGGAGUAUCAAACAAUUGAGGAGUGCUUACCUGUAUUAUUCCCUUUUUACCAAACAACAUUAGAGCUCCCACAAGAGAGAAGGGUCUCAACCUCAAAGAUAACCCUUAAUGAACAUUCUGCACCAUGCAGUACUUGUAAAAUCAGUCAAUAUCACCAGUGUUGCUAAACUUCUGUUGGACAACCUUUUAAGACAUGUCAGAGAACAUGUGGCAAGUAUAGGAUCCCUGAGCACAAUGACAGUGGCCACAUUACUUGACCCCAGGUUUAAAACUCUUGGCUUUCUCAGCCGAAACAAGGUACAAGAGGCAGUACGGCGGCUAAAAUCUGAAUGUACGGCACUAAUAGCCAGCAGUGAAGCUUCACUUCCACAUCCAUCAGAUGCAGGAGAAAGCACCAACAACUCUAGUGAGCUGUGGUGUCUGCUAGAUGAAACAGUGGACCAGAAGAGACAAAGCUUCAAUGCCACAGCAGAUGCCAUACUAGAGGUGGAGCAAUACUUGGUAGAAGUUAACUUGAGGAGACAUCAGGACCCCCUGGAGUACUGGCAUAAACAAAAACAUGUGUAUCCCUACUUGUACCACAUGUCACAGAGGUUCCUAUGUUCACCAGCAUCCUCAGUGCCUUGCAAGAGUGUGUUUUCCAAGGCUGGGAGGUCAUCAGCCAACGAAGAAACUGCCUACAACCACAAACAGUGAAAUAAGUCUUGUUCUUGAAUAAAAAUAAUUAACACCCAAAUACCCAUCCACCAGUAAUUUCACAUUUAGUGGUUUGAUCAGCAAAGACACAUCAGUCUCACCCAGGAGAAACAGACUGAAUGCUAUUAAAAGAGUGACAUUCUGUGUGCAGCUAACUAUAAAAGAUCUGAAGCAGAAGUC